rnacentral:lncRNA from 1 species
GGCUUGCCACCAUAAAUCUGAUACUAUAGAUAAAUUUUUCCACCAUAGACACUCCCCUUCCUCGGGCUACCUAGGAAGCUGUUGCCCAAGGUGACAACCCAAGAGGGGGGGUGAAUUGGAUUUUCUAAAAAUUAUGUUUCCUAAUUUUUACUUUGAAUUGAAUGCCGCGGAAUGAUAAGAUGUUAUUUACUUAAGCUCUAGGCAAUUACAAGUAAAGUAGUGGAAAAUUAAGCUAGAGCAAUUAUACUAUGGCUUUAGGGUGCAAUUGAUCUAAAAUUAACUUAUAGUUGUAUGAUCAAUUUUAAUCUAUGUGUAUGGUAAGAAUGGAGAGGAAGCUAAGCAAAUUCUAAACAAUCACUUAGAACUCGAUAGAAAACAAAGCAAGAGAUAUUACAUAAUCAAGUAUGAAUGUAAGGCAUGAAAUACAAGAGAUAAGGCAUCACAAACACAAAG